rnacentral:tRNA from 2 species
GGACAGGUGGCAGAGUGGUUGAAUGCACCGCACUCGAAAUGCGGCAUACCUUCACGGGUAUCGGGGGUUCAAAUCCCUCCCUGUCCGCCA